GCUGGGAUGGCUCAGUUGGUAGAGCAUAAGACUUUUAAUAUGAGGGUCAUGGGUUCAAGCCCCAGGUUGGGUCUGCCUUGCA